rnacentral:lncRNA from 1 species
GAUGGAAGAUAAUGUAAGCUUUUACUAAUGCAUGAUUCAAUGUAAUUUGUGUCGUUAUGACUUAAGAGUCAGCAGUUUCAACUUGCAAUAUUAUAUAACCAGCGGCCAUUGGCAAGCACAAGAUCUAUGGAAGAGGAGUGAAGCCCUCAAUAGACGUAUAUGUGGGUGCAUGUUACUCCGACUCUUUAAUGUUGGAGUACUCAUGUAUGUCCAACACCCAUGUUUGAUGCAUAUCCGGACAUAAGGUACAAGGAUAUAACCCUCCCAAUACACAAAAAAAGGAAAAACAUGAAAGAAAAAAUUGAACAUACCUGUGUCGGGCACAUGCCUACACACUUGAGUCCAAGUAACACAUGAAGAUUAUAUAUACUACAAAAGCCACGGUUUUUCGUUUUGGGAAUUUAACAAAAAUCAAUUGUUUUCAGUAGCUACAGCCAUUUAAUCAAAUGCCCAUAUACAUCAUAUGCACAAGUUUGACGUGGAAACAACAUUUGACCAAGAAUGAGGUAGCAUUUUGAUGUAUUUCAAACAGAAAUUAAGAAACAUAAAAUUAGCAUCAGAAUGUGAGGAAGAUGGUUUUAAAAGUCUCCAAUUCAGGUUAAGAAACAGUUUCUUUUGUACAUCAUAAAGGUUCAAUGCCUUAAAGACAGCUCCACUGAAGAGCCUGAAAAAAUAGCGAAAACAGAAGACUAUAAAAGUAUACCAGCAAUGAACCAGUUCAUCAACUGGUGUAUUGUGUGUAGUUCUUGCUUCUCUGUUCUGUGAGAUGUAGAUAAAAACACCAUUACCGAUGAUAAUCCAACGAAAAGAGCCUGAUUUCAAGCAGUAAGAAAGCAGUUACUUUCAAUUGUGUUAACAAUAUACACAAGCUUAUCAUUCCAGCAAAAGGUAGAGAGAUAUGUUGCCUACCUGUAAUUGAAAGAGCAUAGGGAACCUGGGUUUUCUCUUUUCAUGAUUACAAAUGCCAAACCAGAAUCUAUUCACACCAGCAUUUAGGUCAAGCCACUUUCCAGUUAAUCCUAUUACAAUAACCAUCACUCCACUUGCAUUUCUGCACACGUUCAUGAGGCACAAAUAUAACCAAUUAAAACAUUGUAGAUGAUAGAAUUAUGUAAAGGGAACUGAUACUAUAAUUUUCCAUCAGUCUAAGGAAUUAAACUUAUCAACAAACAAUAAUUUUUAGAAACCUUAACUUUUGGGAAUGAUAGAGGUUAGAAUAUGUUUGUAUUUCUAUUGUCGAACCAUUUCACCUAUCUUUAAAUAAAAGGAAAAAUCACGAUAAAGGAGGAACAAGGAAGGCAACUCACACCAACUUAUUAUUAUCAGGAAUUUCAGCAGGCAUUAAAGUAAAUAGAGACAAGAACCAACAAGUGAGACAAACAAAAACUGGAAUUCCAGAUCUCCAUGGAAUUGAUUUGUAAAGAUAUAUAGAAGCUAUGGCUCCGACUAUGAGGAAGCACCAAGUGUAGAGUUUUCUCUCAGUGAAGCUAUGCACCUGUACAAGGUACAAUAAAACACGGUUUAGAACAUUAAAAUAUCACUUAAAUAAUCACAAAAACAACAGGAUGUUGUACUAGCAUACCAGGAGCUCAAGAAUGAUCACUGAGACCACACCAAGGGCCAGAAGUUUAAUGACAUAGUCGGAUUUUCUCCCACAUAAGUAUCUCCAAAGUGCUUUUAUAAACUUAUAUUCAUUUAGUAUUUGCGUCCAGAGAAAUAUCGUCAUGGCAAAGUAUGCAUGGUAAAGUGGAGGGGAGUGCUCCAGAAAUAGCAGAACACUGACUACUGCCAUAAACAAACAGCCACAAAGCUGAGCCUGCCAUAUAGGAUGAUAUAUGUGAGAAUGUAGCAUCUAACUGGAAGAAACAAAUAAUUUAUUCCCUAUCCAGAAAAUGCUCAUUUGAUGAAAAAUAAUACAAAAAUGAGCAAGGAAAGCAAACAAACAUGAUAUAAAUAUUGUAAACUAAGCAUAAUUGAAAAAAAGUUUGUGUCUGCAAAGAAACUAGGAGCACAACUAAUAGAACCAAGUAGUUCUUGUCAGCUUUGAAGUAUAAGGUAAUUUUUUAAGAAACUAAUUUACCACAAGGCAUUUUGGCUUCAAACUUCAUAAAACUCAUGAAAAACAUUUCCAUUUGUUUUCCUUUUUUUUUCCUCUGUCGUUAAAAGUAAGUUUAAAAGAGAUUAAGCUUACAUAGACAUUACUUUUCCUGUAUUAGAUUUCUCGUGAACGGCUUCCUCCUUUCUAAAUAUAUCUCCUGGCAAUAAAGUAUAAGCUUGCAGAACAUGAAGAACAAGAAAGACCAUCCAACCGAUAUAUCCAAGAGUAAUCGUGGCCAUCAGCAUCAGCAAAUCAUAAGUUUGAAAAUAAUGAAGUCCCUUCAGUGCCAAGCUUCUUAGAUUUUCUGAUAGCUGCAUGGCAGCUUUAUAGUCUCUAGCACUUAGCAAUUCCUCAAUUUGAUUCAACAUAGAGAAGUAAGACGCAAGUGGCUUGAAAGGCUUGAAAAACAGUGAAUGUGAUUGCUUUAUUUCUAAGUUUGUCAAGGAAAAGAGUUACAGAAUGCCAAUCCAUAAUCCAGUAACACCUUCCACAUUUUAACACGGAAUCAAACAGAAUAUCCAAUAAUUGAAUAAAAAACAUGUAGAUAAGAAGUAAUAAGAUUUCAGUUGGCCAAAAUCAGGUAAAUGUUUAAAAAAGUUACAAAGGGUAUUUCUGAGUGAAAACAUGAAACACAACAUUCUGGUCAACAAAUCUAAGUCCAAACUUCAUGAGGAACAAAACUUAAAGAUAGACAAUGAUCUUAUGUUGUAAUAUAAAAUCUUUUCAAGGAAUUAUGGAAAACAAAUUAAGCACCAUACUGCAUUGAACUAAAACUAGUUUAUGAAAAGGAUACGUGAUUUGCGCAGAAACUGGUUCAGAAUCUGUUUUGUGUUAGCUAGCACAGCUUCAACUUCUUCCUCCUGAACAUUAAAUAGUGAAUAUUUUUCAUCAGUUUUCUAUGCAUUUAUUGCAAUGAAAACUUGUUUAGCCGCACCAAAAUACCUAAUUAGUUGAUCUCCAUCAGAGUAUAAAAUAGCACAUCCUAAGUUCAUAAUAGAUCUCAAAAUAAGCAUUCUAAUGAAAAAUAUUCAGACUCGCCUCUUUCAUGUCAACAUAACCAAGAGGUAAAUUCCCGACUGAAUUGACUGGACAAGGCAAACCAAGAAGAGUUGACUGCCGCAAAAAGUAAGGAGCAUCAGUUCAGUUGGGGGUUAAACAUGUUUCAAAGAAAUACUUUAAACAGGAUUUUUUUUUUUUAUCAACAUUAAACAACCAUGAGCGGUGCAAUAUCAGCUUGAUUGACAUCAACUCUUUCGAUGCCAUCAAGGUCCCAUUCUUUAGGUGUUGGCGCGUCAUGCAAAUGUUGAUCAAUAAAACGAAGAACAUGAUCCGAGUGAUCUUUUGCAGUGACUGGCCUGGGAUGUUUUACGCCUGCUCCCCAUACAACUAGAGGGGUAUCAGUGUUUGAAGGAUGCCCAUCCCCAUGACUUCCUAGUAAUCAAAAGCUAAUCAUGUCAGAAUCUGUAAUUAGAAACGAUCAAAGAAAACAAAUAGAACUAGAGGAAGAAAGAUAAAGUAGAAAACUAGUUUUGGUCUUGUAAAAAGUUACAUGUUACAAUGGACAAGGCAUGGCCUAGUGGUAGACACACCUUACUACCUUACUUCCAAGGAGAUCUCGAGCAUGGGGGUCAUAUCAAAAGAUUUUCAGUCAUACAACCUAGAGCAAGAUAACAAAAGUAAAUAAGGUGAAGUAUAUAAAAGAGUUCCCCAACCUUUGUCGCUCAUUCCAUGAUCAGCUGUGAAGAUAUAUGAUGUACGAUUGUCCUUGUAGUAAUUCUCAAGAAGAUUAUAAACACGUUCAGCAAUAUGAUCAACAACCUUUACAUUGUUGAGAUAAAUAGAUGAAAAGGGACGAUGUGCAUGACCAUUUGAAUCACAACCAAGUAGAUGCAGAAAUACAACAAGAUUAUCUUGUUCAAGUAACCUUUUCAACUUUGGGUCUUCAUUAGACCUAUUCAGCAGGCUCUGAAAUUGAUCAAAAGACCAUUCAUCCAAAAAGGAUGCAUCUGCAUUUACAUCAAUUGAAAUAAGCAUCGAACAAGAGUGAAAAUCAUAAAGAUGAAAUACAAUCAUUAGUAAGCAUCAUAAUACAAGGAUUUCAAGAAAGCCAAAUAUAUAGAAUGCUGAUACAAUUUAGUUGUAAACCUUGAAAGGUAUUAACAUAUAAAGCAUGUUCAUAUCAAUGUAAUCUAAUUGGAAUAGAAAUAAACAAGGUAUGAUUGGAAGCAAAGAAGCAGUAUCCAAAAUUACUAGCAGAGGUAUUUAAUUAAUAGUUCAAAAAAGAACAGUUUGAUGAGAACCCUCUUUUUAUUAUUUUUUUUCAUUUUAAGCUUCUUUCUUUUCUUUUAGAACGAUUUCAUAAUUUAUAAGAGAAAUUUGCCUUUCACAGAAUUUUAAGCAGACCAGUAGCGAAGUCUUCAAACUCGUGGGGAUAUGUAGCCCAAGUGCUGUGCGGCAAAGCACCACAAAAUAUUGGAACAAUAUCUGGACUACCAUAAGAAAUUGUAUGCCGGCUCCGAUUAAAAACCGAAUCAAAUUCAACUGGAUUAGCUUUCCAUCCUGCAAUCAAAUGGAAAAGCUUAACAAAGGGGAAAAUUUGUUGGUCGAUUCCACCAAGGUGAUGUAACAAUGCUUAAAACAUUAACCUUUUGUAACUGCACUAGGGUCCUCAUAGAAACCAGCAAUUAUAGCAACAUGUCCAGGCCUUGACUCUGUUGGAGGCCGAGCAUGAGAUACUCCCCAUCGACCUUGAUUCUUAAUCACAUUUCUUAAAAAGGGUGCUCUGAAAUUCGCUUCCAAAUCUGGCUCGAAAAAUUUAUCAGCACGUAAACCAUCCGCUGCAAUGAUAUGGUUUUACCAAAACGUAGCAAAUAGUAAUUACACUAAACAUUAAAAAAUGAGUAAUCAUUUCAGGAAAAUGAAAUGUUUCAAACAUUAAACUGUAGAUGCAUCACAAUAAUCAUGAACAGCCCAUCAUUGAGUUCUCCAUUUUUCAUAUAAAAAGCUUAGCCUUUUAGUACAAAGCUAAAAUAACUAACAUACCCAAAAGGUUCUUUGUUUCUAUUUAGCAGAAUUGCCAGAUUUGCAUCAAACUCAACAAGCCAUUUCUCACUAUCAAUCUUAUUCAACAAAACCAAGGGGGGUUGAACCCUAAAAAGAGAAGAAAGGUGGGUUUACCAACAAGAAGAACAAGGCGUUUAGCAGGAGGAGAGAAGCGAGGGGAGACAAGAUCCAUGCCAUGAACAAUGGGGGUCUUGAAGUAGAUGUCGAAGAUGCUUAACAUGUAAACGGCAUGGAGGACGACACCAAGUAUAACCAGCCAUGUUUCUCUUCUUUUAACCCAUUGUCGUCUCCUGGGUAUGCUUGAUUUGCCUAGCUUCGAAUCUCUGUUACCCAAGAUCCCAUCUACAUCCAUCUUUUUCGUUACUUGGUCUCACCUCUCUAUAAACUCUUGCAAGAAAACCAACAAGAAACAUAACUAUUACAUCUUUAUUUUUUUCAUUUUUCAUUUGUACAAGAAAAAUACUAAAAUAGUUUUUUUAUUGGAAAAUUAACUUUUUAAUACAUCAAAAUAUAUUGUUUUAGGUGAGGUAUAAUAAAAAUAAAGUUAACUUUUACUAUUUAAAAAACAUCAUUUAUUAUUUAAGAGAGCUGACAUUUUUAAAGCUUGCAAAUAAAAUCUUUUAUUUGAAAUUAAAUAACAAUUGAAAAAUAAUUUUAAAAUAUGUUGAUUUUGUUAUAAAUUGGACUUAUUUGAUUUUUUUAAAAAUAGUAUAAGAAUUAAAUUGAUCCAUCUAAUAAUAGAAGGAUUAAUUAGAUAUAGUCUCAAUAAUUAGUGAAUCUUUCGUAAACUUUAAUCCAACUAGAUCUCGAUAUUAAUAAAAUUGUAUCAAUUUAAUUCUACUCAUCAGUGAAAACAAAGUGAAUAGUUUGUGAUUUCCUACUAAAAUAUAUUUUAUAGCUUUUAUAAUGUUUUAAGGAUGUGUUUGGGCUUUUCAUAGUAACCGAUUGAAAAUUUUUAAUAAAAUGUAAUUACAUCAUAAUUUUCUGUCAUGUUUAAUAAUAAAAAUUAUAAUUAUAAUUAUACGACAAUAAGUAUUUAGAUCUCAUGCAGAAGCCAAUUAACUCUCAAUCUUUGGUGCCAAAAUUUGUCCUCCAUUGCUAAUCUUUCAUCGAUAUCUUUUUUGAGUUUUUCAAUCUCCCCUUUUCUUUCCUCCCAAUAUUCUCGAAUUCCUUCCCAACACCUUGGAAUUUUAGAGCUUCCAAUUUCUCCAUGAUCCAUCCAUGUCCCAAGUCCUCUCCCAAAUUCUUUCAUUCUUCAUUUAUGAUAUUCUCACAUUCAUUGCUAGAUUGAAAUUGGAAGGUCUUUUCUCCAUUUUCAUUCUUAUGAUCCCAGCCUAUAGCACCAUUUGCCAACCCUAUACUACAGUGGAAGAGGAUACUCCACUCAACAUUUCCAAGGAUGCCAUCUAAUUUCUCAUUUAUAAAUUCGUCCCCCUCAGACACUAAUAUCCUCACCAAUGCAAUACCAAGUACUUAUCAAGCAUUUCAUCAAAUCUCAAAGGUUAAAUUCUACCAUUAGACCUUGUACUUUGAGUAAAUUAUAGAUUUAGUACAUGUACUUUUAGAAUUUAAAAAUUUUAAUCCUAACCAAAUAAUAAGUAUUAAGGUUAUUUUUAAAAUUUGAUGUGUCAAAACAUAUUAUCACAUAUUGGCCAAAUUAGAGUUAAAAGUACUAAACCCACAAUUUAUACAAAGUACAAGGUCUAAUAGUAAAAUUUGACCAAUCCCAAUCCCAAACCUCAACUCAUCCUUCAUUCUAAGGACACCCAAAUAAUUUUCAUUUUAAGUCUUCCAAGGCUCUAUUUGUUGAGGGUUCGAUGGAUUAUUUGAUGCUAAGAGCCUAAGAAAUAUCUUCCAAGGAUGUGAUAUGCCUAGAAUUAAAACACAGUCAUAUUUAUGCUACUCAGAUUUAUUAUUUAUUUCUCAAUGUUUAAAUAUAAACAUAUAUUAGGCUUACAUUCUGCUUAGAACAUAAAAUUUCAUUAACGAGAACAAAAGGGAACUUAAUAUAUACUACUUAUUUAUCUUCAGUUAUAUGUUUAAUUAAAACUAUUUGACAAGUUCAUAGCUUCUAGGAUUACAAACGAAGACACUACAAGAAAUCCAUCCAUUUCCUCUCUUCUCACAGAACUUAUUACUGCAAGCUUUUCAGCUAUUACAAUAUGAAAAACACAUACUCAAGAAGUGUCGUUUUUUGGGGGCUUUGGUUGGGUUUUUCAAGGACAUUUGUGCUUGUUGCGGUGGGUUCUCAUAUCAGUGUAACAUUUGCCACACAUUUCUCUGUUGCCAUAUGUCCCUGGUGGGACACAUUUGCAUCUGUCACAGCAUGUCAUGCAAGCUCUCAAGCAUAGGUUAGUCCUUGAGUGUAAUUUGCACCUUUGUCCACAUAAUGGGAUGCAAUCUGCCAACAAAGUUGUCCAACAGGUUGUUGUCAGAAAGAUAACAGAUAAGUUCCUUGAGUUUUGGUAAGUAAAAAAAUGAUGUUUUCUUUACCCUUUUUUGUCCUAACAGGCGGCAAUGGUGGACUUGGUGGCUUGUAAGGCGGUGCUGGAGUUGUUGGUGGCUUAACUGGAGGUGUAGGAACUGGGGGCUUAUAUGGGGGAGUUGGUGCUUUAGUUGGUGGUGCUGGUGCUGGAGUUGGUGCUUUGGUUGGGGGUGCUGGAGCAGGUGUUGGGGGCUUAUAUGGGGGUGUAGGGGCCUUGACUGGAGGUGCCGGUGCGGGAGUAGGGGGUUUAUAUGGGGGAGUAGGAGCCUUGGUUGGUGGUGUUGGUGCUGGGGGCUUAUAUGGUGGAGUAGGAGCCUUGGUUGGUGGCGCAGGAGCUGGGGGCUUAUAUGGUGGAGUAGGAGCCUUGGUUGGUGGCGCAGGAGCUGGUGGUUUAUAUGGUGGAGUGGGGGCCUUGGUUGGUGGUUUAUAUGGUGGAGUGGGGGCCUUGGUUGGGGGUGCUGGAGUUGGGGCCUUGUACGGCGGUGCCGGAGUGGUGGGAGGCUUAACGGGUGGAGCAGGGAUAGGUGCCUUCACUGGAACAG